UUAAGCGACUAAGCGUACACGGUGGAUGCCCUGGCAGUCAGAGGCGAUGAAGGACGUGCUAAUCUGCGAUAAGCGUCGGUGAGGUGAUAUGAACCGUUAUAACCGGCGAUUUCCGAAUGGGGAAACCCAGUGUGUUUCGACACACUAUCAUUAACUGAAUCCAUAGGUUAAUGAGGCGAACCGGGGGAACUGAAACAUCUAAGUACCCCGAGGAAAAGAAAUCAACCGAGAUUCCCCCAGUAGCGGCGAGCGAACGGGGAGGAGCCCAGAGCCUGAAUCAGUGUGUGUGUUAGUGGAAGCGUCUGGAAAGGCGCGCGAUACAGGGUGACAGCCCCGUACACAAAAAUGCACAUAUUGUGAGCUCGAUGAGUAGGGCGGGACACGUGGUAUCCUGUCUGAAUAUGGGGGGACCAUCCUCCAAGGCUAAAUACUCCUGACUGACCGAUAGUGAACCAGUACCGUGAGGGAAAGGCGAAAAGAACCCCGGCGAGGGGAGUGAAAAAGAACCUGAAACCGUGUACGUACAAGCAGUGGGAGCCUCUUAAUGGGGUGACUGCGUACCUUUUGUAUAAUGGGUCAGCGACUUAUAUUCUGUAGCAAGGUUAACCGAAUAGGGGAGCCGAAGGGAAACCGAGUCUUAACUGGGCGUUAAGUUGCAGGGUAUAGACCCGAAACCCGGUGAUCUAGCCAUGGGCAGGUUGAAGGUUGGGUAACACUAACUGGAGGACCGAACCGACUAAUGUUGAAAAAUUAGCGGAUGACUUGUGGCUGGGGGUGAAAGGCCAAUCAAACCGGGAGAUAGCUGGUUCUCCCCGAAAGCUAUUUAGGUAGCGCCUCGUGAAUUCAUCUCCGGGGGUAGAGCACUGUUUCGGCAAGGGGGUCAUCCCGACUUACCAACCCGAUGCAAACUGCGAAUACCGGAGAAUGUUAUCACGGGAGACACACGGCGGGUGCUAACGUCCGUCGUGAAGAGGGAAACAACCCAGACCGCCAGCUAAGGUCCCAAAGUCAUGGUUAAGUGGGAAACGAUGUGGGAAGGCCCAGACAGCCAGGAUGUUGGCUUAGAAGCAGCCAUCAUUUAAAGAAAGCGUAAUAGCUCACUGGUCGAGUCGGCCUGCGCGGAAGAUGUAACGGGGCUAAACCAUGCACCGAAGCUGCGGCAGCGACACUAUGUGUUGUUGGGUAGGGGAGCGUUCUGUAAGCCUGUGAAGGUGGCCUGUGAGGGUUGCUGGAGGUAUCAGAAGUGCGAAUGCUGACAUAAGUAACGAUAAAGCGGGUGAAAAGCCCGCUCGCCGGAAGACCAAGGGUUCCUGUCCAACGUUAAUCGGGGCAGGGUGAGUCGACCCCUAAGGCGAGGCCGAAAGGCGUAGUCGAUGGGAAACAGGUUAAUAUUCCUGUACUUGGUGUUACUGCGAAGGGGGGACGGAGAAGGCUAUGUUGGCCGGGCGACGGUUGUCCCGGUUUAAGCGUGUAGGCUGGUUUUCCAGGCAAAUCCGGAAAACCAAGGCUGAGGCGUGAUGACGAGGCACUACGGUGCUGAAGUGACAAAUGCCCUGCUUCCAGGAAAAGCCUCUAAGCAUCAGGUAACAUCAAAUCGUACCCCAAACCGACACAGGUGGUCAGGUAGAGAAUACCAAGGCGCUUGAGAGAACUCGGGUGAAGGAACUAGGCAAAAUGGUGCCGUAACUUCGGGAGAAGGCACGCUGAUAUGUAGGUGAAGCGACUUGCUCGUGGAGCUGAAAUCAGUCGAAGAUACCAGCUGGCUGCAACUGUUUAUUAAAAACACAGCACUGUGCAAACACGAAAGUGGACGUAUACGGUGUGACGCCUGCCCGGUGCCGGAAGGUUAAUUGAUGGGGUUAGCGGUAACGCGAAGCUCUUGAUCGAAGCCCCGGUAAACGGCGGCCGUAACUAUAACGGUCCUAAGGUAGCGAAAUUCCUUGUCGGGUAAGUUCCGACCUGCACGAAUGGCGUAAUGAUGGCCAGGCUGUCUCCACCCGAGACUCAGUGAAAUUGAACUCGCUGUGAAGAUGCAGUGUACCCGCGGCAAGACGGAAAGACCCCGUGAACCUUUACUAUAGCUUGACACUGAACAUUGAGCCUUGAUGUGUAGGAUAGGUGGGAGGCUUUGAAGUGUGGACGCCAGUCUGCAUGGAGCCGACCUUGAAAUACCACCCUUUAAUGUUUGAUGUUCUAACGUUGGCCCGUAAUCCGGGUUGCGGACAGUGUCUGGUGGGUAGUUUGACUGGGGCGGUCUCCUCCUAAAGAGUAACGGAGGAGCACGAAGGUUGGCUAAUCCUGGUCGGACAUCAGGAGGUUAGUGCAAUGGCAUAAGCCAGCUUGACUGCGAGCGUGACGGCGCGAGCAGGUGCGAAAGCAGGUCAUAGUGAUCCGGUGGUUCUGAAUGGAAGGGCCAUCGCUCAACGGAUAAAAGGUACUCCGGGGAUAACAGGCUGAUACCGCCCAAGAGUUCAUAUCGACGGCGGUGUUUGGCACCUCGAUGUCGGCUCAUCACAUCCUGGGGCUGAAGUAGGUCCCAAGGGUAUGGCUGUUCGCCAUUUAAAGUGGUACGCGAGCUGGGUUUAGAACGUCGUGAGACAGUUCGGUCCCUAUCUGCCGUGGGCGCUGGAGAACUGAGGGGGGCUGCUCCUAGUACGAGAGGACCGGAGUGGACGCAUCACUGGUGUUCGGGUUGUCAUGCCAAUGGCACUGCCCGGUAGCUAAAUGCGGAAGAGAUAAGUGCUGAAAGCAUCUAAGCACGAAACUUGCCCCGAGAUGAGUUCUCCCUGAGACUUAGAGUCUCCUGAAGGAACGUUGAAGACGACGACGUUGAUAGGCCGGGUGUGUAAGCGCAGCGAUGCGUUGAGCUAACCGGUACUAAUGAACCGUGAGGCUUAACCU
rnacentral:rRNA from 1 species